AACGAACGCUGGCGGCAGGCUUAACACAUGCAAGUCGAACGCCCGUAGCAAUACGGGAGUGGCGGACGGGUGAGUAACGCGUGGGAACGUACCCUGAGGUACGGAAUAACCGAGGGAAACUUCGGCUAAUACCGUAUGAGCCCCGCAAGGGGGAAAGAUUUAUCGCCUUGGGAGCGGCCCGCGUCGGAUUAGCUAGUUGGUGGGGUAACGGCCUACCAAGGCUUCGAUCCGUAGCUGGUCUGAGAGGACGAUCAGCCACACUGGGACUGAGACACGGCCCAGACUCCUACGGGAGGCAGCAGUGGGGAAUCUUGCGCAAUGGGGGCAACCCUGACGCAGCCAUGCCGCGUGAACGAUGAAGGCCUUAGGGUUGUAAAGUUCUUUUACCCGUGACGAUGAUGACGGUAACGGGGAAUAAGCUCCGGCUAACUUCGUG
rnacentral:rRNA from 1 species